AAAACACUUGUAUGGAAGCAGGUAGUAGGCUGGAUAAGAGUCAUGCUCAUAGUUUGUCAGCUUCUGGUUUAAAUCGACAGGACCUACAAGUGUGAAUUAAUAGAACUGUGGAUGAAGGCAUUCCUUGAAAGUGGUGGCCUCUGGAAAACUGUAAAGGAGCUUGGCACUUUGUGGGCAGUAAGGAGACUUGUAAAGAAGACAAAUAAAACCCCUGGGAACAAUAGAGACUCACUCCCUGAGAAGUUCUUGCCCAGUGUUUUCUCUCAUUUCCAGAAGUAUAAAAUCAGGACUGUUCUCUGCAAAACAAGGAAAGCCAAACUGAAAUACUAAAGAGAGAAAGAGAAAAAGUGGUUGGAGGAGAGAGAGGGAAAAAAAGCAGAUGAAGAAAGAGAUGCUGAGGGAUAAGAACUGAUGACAGAGAGACUUGGCGAAGGUGAAAGAAGCCAUAACAGAAUUCUUCAUUGCCUGGUUGGUCCCUCUUACUCUGUGGAUAAAGGAAGGAAGAGGGAGAUGCGAAGGUUUAGAGAAAAGUUACUCUGGCAGUAAAGACAAUGAAAGAAGAUGCUGUUCAUCUUUGGGAGUUGGAAUAAGACAGAACAUUAAUCACUGUAUUAUUCUGAACUAAUUUUCAUCAUUUAAAGUCCCAUCCUACUAGGCAAUGAGUUGUUUUGAUAUCUGGUAUCUCAGAGGAAGGUGCAAAGACUGAUAAAGGCCACAGGACCACAUCUUCCAUGUGCCGGGCACUCAUCCAGUCUGCUUUAAAAGCUAACUCAUUGGUAGAAUCAUGCUCCCUUGCUCCCCAUUUCCUUAAGGUUCACGAAGUAAUAUUUACUUGCUAUCCUUAGAAAACUCUUCUCUGUGGUUGGUGGACAGCAUUUCUUAAUGUUUCUUAGGGUUAAAAUUCAAAGUCUCCAGGCAUAUGGACUACUCUAAACAAAACAGACUCUAAACAAAAAUCUUGAUUAAAAAAAUAUGUGGUCUAUUUUCUUUGGCUCUAAUUUUCUUUCCCUACCUGUGCCUGUACAUAUAGGAGAAAAUCUUGUUCUGUUUUGCUUAGCCAACAGAAAGUUAUUAGUUUUCCCCCCUCCCAGAUCUAUGAGCCAGCAUUUUGGUUUAGGUGUAUAGAAAGUGCAGGUGAUACUGAGAUAGGAAGACAAUUCUAUGGCAUUGCAAGUAAAAGAAACAGAGGUGAGAAAAACAUUGUGUUUUAAG
rnacentral:lncRNA from 1 species